rnacentral:rRNA from 1 species
GACGAACGCUGGCGGCGUGCUUAACACAUGCAAGUCGAACGGAAAGGCCCUGCUUUUGUGGGGUGCUCGAGUGGCGAACGGGUGAGUAACACGUGAGUAACCUGCCCUUGACUUUGGGAUAACUUCAGGAAACUGGGGCUAAUACCGGAUAGGAGCUCCUGCUGCAUGGUGGGGGUUGGAAAGUUUCGGCGGUUGGGGAUGGACUCGCGGCUUAUCAGCUUGUUGGUGGGGUAGUGGCUUACCAAGGCGUUGACGGGUAGCCGGCCUGAGAGGGUGACCGGCCACAUUGGGACUGAGAUACGGCCAAGAGUGCUACGGGAGGCAGCAGUGGGGAAUAUUGCACAAUGGGCGGAAGCAUGAUGCAGCAACGCCGCGUGCGGGAUGACGGCCUUCGGGUUGUAACCCGCUUUCGCCUGUGACGAAGCGUGAGUGACGGUAAUGGGUAAAGAAGCACCGGCUAACUACGUG